AGUGAACGCUGGCGGUAGGCCUAACACAUGCAAGUCGAACGGCAGCACAGUAAGAGCUUGCUCUUACGGGUGGCGAGUGGCGGACGGGUGAGGAAUACAUCGGAAUCUACUUUUUCGUGGGGGAUAACGUAGGGAAACUUACGCUAAUACCGCAUACGACCUACGGGUGAAAGCAGGGGAUCUUCGGACCUUGCGCGAUUGAAUGAGCCGAUGUCGGAUUAGCUAGUUGGCGGGGUAAAGGCCCACCAAGGCGACGAUCCGUAGCUGGUCUGAGAGGAUGAACAGCCACACUGGAACUAGGACACGGUCCAGACUCCUACGGGAGGCAGCAGUGGGGAAUAUUGGACAAUGGGCGCAAGCCUGAUCCAGCCAUACCGCGUGGGUGAAGAAGGCCUUCGGGUUGUAAAGCCCUUUUGUUGGGAAAGAAAAGCAGCAGGUUAAUACCCCGCUGUUCUGACGGUACCCAAAGAAUAAGCACCGGCUAACUUCGUG
rnacentral:rRNA from 1 species